GCAUGUACCAUUGUGUUUUUAGAGUAUAGCAAAACACUAAAUUGGUUAUUUUUGCCUAGCUAGACCUAUAUCACAAACCCAAUAUAAAUAUGUAGAUAGAACUAUCUUUACAUAAGUCAGGAUUUUGUGAAUUUUAUUGGGACAGAGGCUUUUGAUCUGUCAUGCUACCAGGAGCUUCAAGUGGUUUGUCAUCCAUGGGUUUCAUGAGCAAUGGGGAAGGUUACCGUUUGUAAUAGCUGCAGGGACUCUUUUCUAGAACCACUGACCACACCAAUAAAGGCUCUUUUAGGACUGCCUUUGGUUUUCUAUUGAUGUGUUUUCUUUGCAGUCUUUAAAAACAAGUGUGUGUUUACAGAUGUCAAAUACAUGAAGUCAACUGAAAUCUGAUGAUUAUGGUUUGAAGCAAACGCAGUUUAGUUAAUAGUUUAAUACUUAGACAAGGAAAAAUGCUGGUAGUGGAAUUAAAAGCAAACCUUUCUUGUGGAGGGGCUUUGUGUGCUAGUGGUUUUGCCUCCAUGUCCGUCUGUGCCCCACAUGUGUGCCUGAUGUCCUGGGAGGUCAGAAGACGAUGUUGGAUGUGAGCAGCCAUGUGAGUGCUGAAAUUGAACCUGGGUUCUCUGGAGAACAAGUGCUGCUAACAGUUGGGCUCUCUCCAGCCCCAGGGGAUGUUUUUAAGAGGUAUUUAACUAGUAAAUAAUUAAUUGGAUGUUAGAGAGGGGGAGAUUCUGGGAUGAUCUCCAGGUUCCUGACUUGUAAGACAGUGAGUUACUUGAAUUAUUUAUUCUCCACAAAUUAUAAGAUUUCACAUUUUAAGCUUUGUGAGGUGUGUUGCUAAAAUGAAACCCUGCCAACCCUCUGUGUUACUGCUAAGUAAUGAAGUCUUCUGGAAAAUAAACCAGUACCUAAAAUUCAACUUGGUAUAUGAUUAUGUGGAAAUGUGCUAUUUUGAGUAAAGUCAUAUUUCAUUGUCACCUUCAAAUUAAUAUUCUAAAUUUACCUUAAGUAUUGUUUUGGCCACAAGAGAAAAUAAAGGACAUUAGUUAUUGCAUUAUGCUAUAAAGGGAAUUGUAUAAAGAGGUAGGAUUAACUAAAUACUCCUUGAAUUACAAAGUUGUCCUAUGAACAAAAAGUUAAGCCUUAAGGCUCCUUUGACCAUUUUUAUAGAGCUGUGAAGUGAGGGGAUCUGCUGCCAUGACCUGUCACUAUAAAGGCGUCUGUUAGUCACAAGCACAGCCAUCUCCCUUCUCACUAAGAAUAGGAAUAAGAAGAUUUACUUUCUCUAAUAUCUGAGAUCCUUCACCUUUGUGCCCUUAGCUAUUUCUACCUGUACUGGCUGGUUUUGGGUGUCAACUUGACACAGCUGGGGUUAUCACAGAGAAAGGAGCUUCAGUUGAGGAAAUGCCUCCAUGAGAUCCAGCUGCAAGACAUUUUCUCAAUUAGUGAUCAAGGGGGAAAGGCCCCUUGUGGGUGGGACCAUCUCUGGGCUGGCAGUCUUGGGUUCUAUAAGAGAGCAGGCUGAGCAAGCCAGGGGAAGCAAGCCAGUAAGGAACAUCCCUCCAUGGCCUCUGCAUCAGCUCCUGCUUCCUGUCCUGACUUUCUUUGGUGAUGAACAGGAAACUGGGAAGUGUAAGCUGAAUAAACCCUUUCCUCCCCAAUUUACUUCUUGUUCAUGAUGUUUGUGCAGGGGUAGAAACCCUAAGACACUGCCUUCAACUUAGUGAGGAUUCUGGAAGGAACAGAUUUUUUUUUUUAUCAUACGAAAAUAGUAUUUCUAUAAACAUAAAACUAAGUCAAAAAGCAUUCUGCAAAUUCCGUCUUUAGUCCUUUAUUCAAAAUCAGAUAUCAAAUUUAAAUAUUUACAAAUCACCAUUUAUAAUAAAUUUAUUCUCUCCUUUUCUUCCUGCUCCUUUGAUUUUUAAUAAUUUCAGAUUUAUUAUUCAGCAAUAUUUCAUUCUUUAAUAUUAAGAUAAAUUAAACAGCUGAUUUAGAUCACUGCUGUGGGUACAUACCUUUCUAAAAUUUCAUAAGUCUUUUGGAUACCAAUGUUUUUCCUCCCCCAAGAAAGUGAGUGUUUCUCUGUGUAGCCCUGGCUUUUCUGGAACUCACUAUGCAGACGGUGCUGGCCUCACAACUCACUGAGAUCCGCCUGCCUCUACCUCCUGAGUGCUGGGAUUAAGGGCAUGUGCCACUAAGCCCUAAUGACAUUUCAGAUUUAAUGCAUCCAAACUUAAUCGUUUACAGUAAUGAAAUAGAAAAAAAAUUCUUGUAUAUGUUGGGUUUCUGUUUACCUUCUGUUUUGUUUUAAAUUGUCUGCUUUCAUGUAUUCCUAGAUACAGUUUUUCAAUCUUUUUGCAAUCUUUAAGCCAGUCCAUUUCUCUUAUCUUAGGAUUUGGACUGUAGAACAAGGAAUUAUCUUCCAGCUGGGCUGUUUCAAUAGGAUAAUGUUUCAUUAGUUUAUACUUGUGUUAUAUACCUUUUCACAGUGCUAGAAUCAAAACCUUAUACUUGCUCCCUUUCCACCCCCCCCCACUCUCUAUGUAUAUACACAUGUCCCACGCCCUCCCAUACCCUUGCCUUCUUUUUGCCUUUCUUAGUAAAAUCUGUGAAUGAUUAUUUCCUGUGGAAGCAAGUCUUUACCUUGGGUAUAAAGUCCCUUUAUGGACAUGUUAAAACUUAACCAUUUCUUGCACAGAUACCUCCCUGCAUUCUACUGUGUAGUAAUGUUUAUGUAUCAUAUUUCAUCAUUUAACUUCCAUUCUGAUUUUGUCACUUAAUAGUUUUUAAUAAAGUAGUUAUGAGAUAUAGAUUCAGGUUUUCAUUUUCUAAAUAAAGCAAUCAAAGCUUGUAGAAAGGCCUUCUUCAUGGUUUGAUUACUAAUUGGAGCAGUCAGGAGUCAGAACCAAGUCAUUCGUCCCUCCCCCCUUCUAUCCCCCCUCCUCCUCCCUUCCCCUGUUCCCCCCUCUCUGCCAUACUGCCAUUAGAUGCGUUACUAGCAUGGGAAAGGUAUCUGCUCAUCCUUACAGUAACCUCUAGGAAAGUGAAAGGCCAUGUGUGGGAUCUAAAAGGCCUGAGGACAAUUACGCCUAUUCUUUUGGAAUGCUAGUAUUACUUUGUAACAUCUUAUUUUGUAAUGUAUCCAUCUAUGCUGCAGAAGUUGCACAUUCUAAUUUAUUUUGGUUAAGAAAAUUAAGACUACUCUUAAGAGCAGGGAUUUCUUAAUUAUUAAAAUCACCAUUAAUCACAUCAUCCAUAUAGCUUUAAAUGUAAUGGGCCUAAUAAGAUUUGUGUACAUGUAAAGGAACAUGGUGGAAAACCUGUGAGGUCAGUUCCCCAAUUACAAGGUAGUUUGAAGCAACAGAAACAUUGGCAGUUGUUGGAUACUGGUCUUUCAUCUUCCUACAGAACAAGCAAUGUUGAGUAUAUGACUUCUUAGAAAAGCAGAAUAUUAGGAGUGUCCCUGGAGUAGAGCAGCCUCGUUGUGAAAAGCCCAUUAGUGAAUCUGUAGCGCACACAGGCCAUUCCACACUUGUGCAGCUUUCUAUGUUCUCCUCGUCUUCAUGAUUAGCUUCUCACUAAUAUCCCAUGUUGCUAUGAAAAGAGCUGCAAUGUUUGGCUUGAUGUGACACUAAGUGUUUUUCAGUUAGUAUAGGGACGAGUUGGGGUACCAUGCCAUCAUCAUUCACAGCAACACACAGUUAUGCCAGCAGCCUUCCUCACACAGGAAGUGUCUUUCUGGGUAACCUCAGUAUUUGUUCAUGCUAAGUUACUUGUAAAUGGCUGCUUAAUUCAGUGUGUCUAGAGCAUUUAUGUUAUGCCAAACACUUGUCUUUAUAUGAAGAAGUAGAAGAGUACGGAGAGACUAAAAAGGCAGUGGGUUGCCUUUAAAGGACGUUAUCUGCUACAGCUUGAGUAUAUAACGUGGAAUCAGAUCUGUUUCGCUCAGACUGUAGAGUUUCAAUGGGGCGCUGUUUACCUUAGCACCAGCACUCAGAACGUUGAAUAUUACUUGAGCAGAGAGUUCUAGACUAAUCUGGACAACAAAACAAGAUCAUGUCUCAAAAAGGCAAAACAAAAGGCUGGGAGAAUGGUUUCUGAAGUAGAGUUUUGCUCUACAGUUAGGAAGAAUUGAUUUUAACCCCAAGCAACAGCUCAAAGCCAGGUUUGCAGUGCCCCUGUUAUUCUAGAACUGGGGAGGCAGAGGCAGGGUGCUCUCUGGGAUUGCUGACCACACAGUUUAUUUGAAUCAUGGAAUACUAGAUCCCCUCCUCCUCAUAUCUACACAGACUGAUCCUCUCCUGCCCAUGUCUGCACACACUGAUCCCCUCCACAUGUCUGCACACACUGAUCCCCUCCUCCUCAUAUCUGCACACACUGAUCCCCUCCUCAUGUCUGCACACACUGAUCCCCUCCUCAUGUCUGCACACACUGAUCCCCUCCUCAUGUCUGCACACACUGACCCCCUUCUCCUCAUGUCUGCACACACUGAUCCCCUCCUCCUCAUGUCUGCACACACUGAUCCCCUUCUCAUGUCUGCACACACUGAUCCCCUCCUCAUGUCUGCACACACUGAUCCCCUCCUCAUGUCUGCACACACUGAUCCCCUCCUCCUCAUGUCUACACACAGUGAUCCCCUCCUCAUGUCUGCACACACUGAUCCCCUCCUCAUGUCUGCACACACUGAUCCCCUCCUCCUCAUGUCUGCACACACUGAUCCCCUCCUCCUCAUGUCCACACACACUGAUCCCCUCCUCCUCAUGUCUACACACAGUGAUCCCCUCCUCAUGUCUGUACACACUGAUCCCCUCCUCCUCAUGUCUGCACACACUGAUCCCCUCCUCCUCAUGUCCACACACACUGAUCCCCUCCUCAUGUCUACACACACUGAUCCCCUCCUCCUCAUGUCUACACACAGUGAUCCCCUCCUCAUGUCUGUACACACUGAUCCCCUCCUCCUCAUGUCUGCACACACUGAUCCCCUCCUCCUCAUGUCUACACACAGUGAUCCCCUCCUCAUGUCUGUACACACUGAUCCCCUCCUCCUCAUGUCUGCACACACUGAUCCCCUCCUCCUCAUGUCCACACACACUGAUCCCCUCCUCAUGUCUACACACACUGAUCCCCUCCUCCUCAUGUCUACACACAGUGAUCCCCUCCUCAUGCCUGCACACACUGAUCUCCUCCUCCUCCUGUCUACACACACUGAUCUCCUCCUCCUCAUGUCCACACACACUGAUCCCCUCCUCCUCAUGUCUGCACAUACUGAUCCCUUCCUCCUCAUGUCUACACAUGCACAUAAUCCAAACAAAUAUUUUUAAAUUGAGAAAGGAAUCACAAGAAUUUUAUGAUAGGCAGCAAAGAAAAUUUUUGUGUAUGUAGAUUUUGCAUUCUUUUGGGAAAAGAUAUAAGCAGUAAAUUAAAUAGCAGUUCAAGAGAAAUGGGGCAGGGAAGUGUUCAGUAGAUCUCCAAUUCUUCAAGAAGUAGGCCAAUAGUUGACAGAUGGGAACUCGUGAAACUACAAAGCUUCUUUACAGCAAAGUAAAAUGACAGCUCACAGAAUGGGAGAAAAAUACCUACACACUCUACUUUUGAUAGAAUAUAAUAGAGAUAUAGAAACAACUCAAAAUAUAUAAUAAGAAAUUAGAUAGUCCAAUCAGAUGAAAUGCAAAUGACCAAUGAACAUUGGGAAAAUAUUCAGUUUUCUAACCUUAGAGAAAUACAAAUCAAAACUACCCUACGAUGCUAUAUUACCAGAGAGUCAGUUGCCAUUCAUCAGGAGAACAAAUAACAAAUGCUUGUAAGGAUAUGGGCAGGAAAGAGCCUUUUAUAGAUAGGUUUAUUGCCUAUACUUUUGCCCUGUACAGAAUCAUAUCUAAAAUUAAAAGAAAGAAUGUAGCAGUUAACAAACGGGGAUACCUGGUCAGAGGUGAUGGUGACUUGUAGCAUAGUACUAGUUAGGAAGGUGAACACAGCUUGCACCUUCUUAGAGGUUGAAUCAAUCAACAGGAGUUGUUGCUAGGAUAACAGGCGUUUGAAUAAAGGACUCAAAAACUUGAUGAAGGACAGUGAAACAUAAUGGAGAGCAGUAGCUCAUUUAGAGUAGGCUAAAAGGCACAAAGAGUCCUACUUGAACUGGUGGUGGAACUGCUCUUGAGAGGUAGUAAAGGGUUUAAGUGGAAAGCACAGGGCAGGGCAGGAAAGGACCCGGCCUCUGAGAUCUGGCAGUGUAAGCUCUUGAACAUCGGUGGUUCAGCGCACUGGAGAGCCAUAGGUAUGAGCGUGCGAUGUGUAGGGUCUGAUCAAAGAAGAUUCUGCAGUAUGAAGGAGGCGACUGUUUCCUAGGCUUUAGGAGAUGUGGUCAGACCAUAAGCCCUGGCGUUCUCAAAGCUCAGUGUCCUGACUCCUGGUGCGCCCCCAUUCUCCCUCUUCUUUCUAGUUUUCCAUCUGCCUGACCGCCAUAUUCUCUCAAAGAACCGCCUGAGAUGCUUGCUUUGUCCUGGUUAUACUUGCUUUAAACUUUUCAAAUGUACUUUUUGCUGAAAAGUCAUCUUAACACUUAAUUUCUCUUAGAAAUUGUAGGGGCGACGAUACUCAUCUUUGAGGGAGAGUCACUAUCCCUACCCAGUUCUGAAGCCACUCUGAAGGUUUGGAAGUGCUCGGGCAACAGGACAGCCUCCUGGCAUCCUUCCCACCCUUUCUCUUCCCUUCGCCCAGACCCUCCCCUUCUCCUGCCCCAUGCAGAUCUAGAGCCUGUUUGUUGGUACCCUGUCCUCCUUCUUCAGGCCUGCUAAGAUUCUCUUUUUACGUAGUAAUGGCCACGUUCCCCAAGUGCUUACACUUUGUUAAGAAAAAAGAGUUACAGACACAAAGUUUGGAGCUGAGACGAAAGGAUGGACCAUCUACUGAUUGCCAUAUCCAGGGAUCCACCCCAUUAUCAGCUUCCAAACGCUGACACCAUUGCAUACACUAGCAAGAUUUUAUCGAAAGGACCCAGAUGUAGCUGUCUCUUGUGAGACUAUGCCGGGGCCUAGCAAACACAGAAGUGGAUGCUCACAGUCAGCUAAUGGAUGGAUCGCAGGGCCCCCAAUGGAGGAGCUAGAGAAAGAACCCAAGGAGCUAAAGGGAACUGCAACCCUAUAGGUGGAACAACAAUAUGAACUAACCAGUACCCCGGAGCUCUUGACUCUAGCUGUAUAUGUAUCAAAAGAUGGCCUAGUCGGCCAUCACUGGAAAGAGAGGCCCAUUGGACACGCAAACUGUAUAUGCCCCAGUACAGGGGAAAGCCAGGGCCAAAAAAAUGGGAAUGGGUGGGUAGGGAAGUGGGGGGGGGAGGGUAUGGGGGACUUUUAGGAUAGCAUUGGAAAUGUAAUUGAGGAAAAUAUGUAAUAAAAAAUAUUAAAAAAAGAAAAAAGAACACUGAGAUACUAGAAUGAGUGAGGAGUGUGGACAUUAAUGAAUGACAAAGGGAUAGUUAACUUUCCAAAUUUACAUUCAUUUGUUUUUAGGAAGUUUAUCUUUGGCAGCUGGAGAGGUGUUUCAGUGGUUAAGUGCACUGUAUGCUCUUGCAGAGGACCUGGGUUCCACUCUAAGCAACUACCUAGUGAUUCACAUCUGUCAGGAAAUCCAGUCCCAGGAGACCCAGCAACCUCUUCUGGCUUUCACAGGCAGUGUCUACAUAUGGUACACAGACAGAUGUACAUGCAGACAAAACACCAUACCCAGAAAAUAAAAAUAAAUAUGCAUAUACACACACAUACAAACACAUAAAGAAUUUUGUCUACAUGGUGAUGAUAAUCAUGGAAAAGUGGAAAACUAUUACCAUAGGUGCUAAUGAGAUAAUGUUGGUAUGCUAACAGGAGAACUCUGCAUUGAAAACUCAUGACAUUUCAAUUCCCAGUUAUUUUUGUACUAUUUUUAAAAUUGUAAUUACAUCACAUGUUCCCUUUCUUUUUCCUUCCUUCAUCUCCUCCCAUGCCCCCUUGCCUCUUUUUCUCAAAUUUGUGCCCUCUUUUUCUUCUGUCUGCUUGUCUCACACACACACACACACACACACACACACACACACACACACACACACUCCUAAAUACAACCUAAUCGCUCUGUAAUUUUACCUCUAUGUUUAUGAUCUUGUAGCUAUUUUGUAGGUUAUUAUUAAUCCUAACUUUGCUAUAUCAUAUGUUACACUUCUAAAUUUUCUUUAUUUACUUUUGGUUGUUUGAGACAUGGCCUCUUCUUGUCACAGAUAUAAACAUUCAUUCCUAAAAAACCCAAUAUACCUGUGUGUUACCUGUAUUUAUAUGACCUCACUUUUGUCAGUUAUUAAUCCUAACUUUUCUAUAUCAGAUAUUACACUUUUAUGUUUUAUUUACAUUUUAAUAUUGUUGCUUGAGACAUGGCAUUAUGUAUACUAGGCAGGCCUUGAACUUGUUCUCUGUCCCAAGGGAGGAUCUGGAGCAUGGCUCUUCCUGGUUCUACCUCCCGUGUGCUAGGAUUACAGGUGUAGGCCACCAGCCUGGUUAUACUGACCACAGGAGAAAAUCUUGUCUUAUGUUGUCCCUGACAGGAAGCUUUAGUACCUAAAUGACUGAUAGACGUGUUUUUAUAAUUACAAUUUGGCGUUUGGUUGACUUUCACAGGUGAACCACCACUGCGCUGCCCUUCCUGUAGAUUUUGUUUUGUUCAUGUGUGUAUACUGUUUGGAUCUAACUUGACAUAUAUUAGGUCAUGUUUACUGGUGAAAAUAUUCCCAUUCAUCCUCAUGUGUAUAGCAAUGGUCAUAUCUGUUUAUCCAUUCUAACAGAAGACUG